AACGAACGCUGGCGACAUGCCUAACACAUGCAAGUCGAACGAAGCCUUCGGGCUUAGUGGCGCACGGGUGCGUAACGCGUGGGAAUCUGCCCUUGGGUUCGGAAUAACAGUUAGAAAUGACUGCUAAUACCGGAUGAUGUCUUCGGACCAAAGAUUUAUCGCCCAAGGAUGAGCCCGCGUAGGAUUAGGUAGUUGGUGGGGUAAUGGCCCACCAAGCCGACGAUCCUUAGCUGGUCCGAGAGGAUGAUCAGCCACACUGGGACUGAGACACGGCCCAGACUCCUACGGGAGGCAGCAGUGGGGAAUAUUGGACAAUGGGCGAAAGCCUGAUCCAGCAAUGCCGCGUGAGUGAUGAAGGCCUUAGGGUUGUAAAGCUCUUUUACCAGGGAUGAUAAUGACAGUACCUGGAGAAUAAGCUCCGGCUAACUCCGUGCCAGCCGCCGCGGUAAGAC
rnacentral:rRNA from 1 species